UUUUUGUCAAUUACACAUGUGUAAGAACUGUAUGAAUAUACUUUUGUCCAAUUUUAUUAUCAUAAUUUUUUUUUUUUUUUACAUGCGCAUAAGGAAUAUGUUUUGUCCAAUUCCAAUAUGAUUUCAUAGGAAGUCAAAAGUCAAAAGUCAAAAAUGUCAAAAUUUUGUAAAAACUUCACACACCCUUAAAAAGUGCUUUCUGGACCGUUUUUUGAAAUUCUUUCAAUUUUUUUGUCAAUUACACAUGUGUAAGAACUGUAUGAAUAUACUUUUGUCCAAUUUUAUUAUCAUAUUUUUUUAUAUAUUUUUUUUAAUUGUGCAUAAGGAUUUUUUUUGUGGGCCAAAUGACGUAAGAAAUUUGACAUGCUCAAAAAUCCUGCAGAAAUGCAAAAUUGACUGGCCUGAUGAACUCGGGAUGGCCGGGCAGUGAUAGUUGUUCCUUUCCAUCACUCGUUGUGUUGACUUCAUCAUGUCCAUUUUGUGAUGUUUUUUCACUAUAUAAUCAUAUUGCAAGUGCACGUGCAUUUGCAAUAUGUUUCAAUGUGCAUUUACCAUAUGAAAUUUGACCUUGCUCAAAAAUGCAAAAUUGACUGGUCUGAUGAACACAGGAUGAGCAGUGAUAGUUGUACAUUUCCAUCACUCGUUGUGUUGAUUUCAUCAUCUCCGUUAGGUGAUGUUUUUACACUAUAGAAUCAUAUUGCAAAUGCACGUGCAUUGUUGUGCAACUGGUAACCCAAAAAUAAAAAUAUGGUUGUAAAUGCAUUUACCGGUCAUUCUGAUAUUAAUGCUCGCUAUGGGAACACAGGAUGGCCGGGCAGUGAUAGUUGUACAUUUCCAUCACUCGUUGUGUUGAUUUCAUCAUGUCCAUUAGGUGAUGUUUUUUCACUAUAGAAUCAUAUUGCAAGUGCGCGCGCAUUUGCAAUAUGUUUCAAUGUGCAUUUACCAUAUGAAAUUUGACAUGCUCAAAAAUGCAAAAUUGACUGGUCUGAUGAA